UACAGAGGGUGCGAGCGUUGUUCGGAAUUAUUGGGCGUAAAGGGCGCGUAGGCGGUGCCACAAGUCACUUGUGAAAUCCCCGGGCUUAACUCGGGGCCUGGAGGCGAAACUGUGGUGCUGGAGUAUGGGAGAGGUGCGUGGAAUUCCCGGUGUAGCGGUGGAAUGCGCAGAUAUCAGGAGGAACACCGGUGGCGAAGGCGGGUCUCUGGGCAGUAACUGACGCUGAGGAGCGAAAGCGUGGGGAGCGAACAGG
rnacentral:rRNA from 1 species